CCUACGGGCGGCUGCAGUGGGGGAUAUUGCACAAUGGGGGGAACCCUGAUGCAGCGACGCCGCGUGAGCGAUGGAGUGCUUCGGCUUGUAAAGCCCUAUCAGCAGGGAAGAAAAUGACGGUACCUGACUAAGAAGCCCCGGCUAAAUACGUGCCAGCAGCAGCGGUAAUACGUCGGGGGCAAGCGUUAUCCGGAUGUACUGGGUGGAAAGGGAGCGUAGGCGGCCUGGCAAGCCUGAUGUGAAAUACCGGGGCACAACCCCGGGGCUGCAUUGGAAACUGCCAGGCUGGAGUGCCGGAGAGGCAGGCGGAAUUCCGAGUGUAGCGGUGAAAUGCGUAGAGAUUAGGAGGAACACCAGUGGCGAAGGCGGCAUGCUGGACGGUGACUGACGCUGAGGCUCGAAAGCGUGGGGAGCAAACAGGAUUAGAUACCCGUGUAGUC
rnacentral:rRNA from 1 species